rnacentral:rRNA from 1 species
UACGUAGGGGGCAAGCGUUGUCCGGAAUCAUUGGGCGUAAAGCGCGUGUAGGCGGCUCGGUAAGUCCGCUCUGAAAGUCCAGGGCUCAACCCUGGGAUGCGGGUGGAUACUGCCGGGCUCGAGUCCGGAAGAGGCGAGUGGAAUUCCCGGUGUAGCGGUGAAAUGCGCAGAUAUCGGGGAGGAACACCAUGGCGAAGGCAGCUCGCUGGGACGUGACUGACGCUGAGACGCGAAAGCGUGGGGAGCAAACAGG